CGAGGUUAAUACUCUUCCUUUCAUCCUUGGGGAGCACUGGGACAUGUUGCUGAAGGACCUGUCAGGGCAAAGUAUAGGAGCUGAAAACAAACAGCUGAAGCCGAAUGACAUACACACCCAGGCUCCAAAAAUGUGCCACUGCGAGUCACUGCUGACAGAAAUAAAUGGUGCAGAUUGGCCUGGGGGCGAAUUGAGCCGAUCCUGUUCUGCAGGUGUACAUUCUACAGACAGGACCCUGCCUAUCCACUCAACACCCUGCUAUCUCAUCGCGGCCGUGGAUUAACUGUUCACAUUAGGAAGAUACCCGGCGAUAAAGGAAACAGCCCACUCCAAACCCACUCGGGUUCGGGUCCAAGCCUUGGCCGGUUACUGUGCUCAGCUUCUUCAAAUCUGUCAAUGAAAAUAUAAACGGAAGCAAAAGUUCUGACCUCGAUUCGUACCUACAGCAUUUUUAUUGCAGUAUCUCCUAACAACUGUAAAGAAACGGAUGUCUCCCACUCCCCUGACACGCACAAACGAAUAUCCGAGCUCAGCCUUCGCAGCUAACAAACGCUGCGAAAGACGGCAGUGGUAUACACAGUAUACACAAGAAACCUCAGUCUGAGGUAACGUGUAAAAUACCGAGACAACUCCAACAGACACCCGUGCAAAAAAAAAAAAAGGAUGAAUCUGAUAAAAAGGGCGUUUUGUUAGAACAAGUUACAUGUGCAAGGUGGUGUGUUAUAUUGGCAACACUAAGCAUUUAUAUUUCAAGUACUUUUUAAAGGGCGGUAAUGAGAUGUUUGUCUGUUUGUUUGUAUGUUGUAUUUAUGUCAGCAUGGAAACAGCAAAAAUAUUUUACUGUUUUGUUAUUGUUUUCUAACAGAAGUACUAAAUAAUUUAGAUGUGGGAAACUAUUAUACUUGUUUGCCUGUAAGUGAAAUUAUCUGUGCCAACACUGACAGGAUGAAUAAAUGAGUUACUAAGGCAACAAUCACAUUAUAUCCUUUCUCACAAUAUGCCGAAGAAGAACAUAUGGUUUAUUAUUGAUGGAACUGUGACUUCUCAUUAGCAUACCAGCUAUGUCUGAGCUUAC
rnacentral:lncRNA from 1 species